GUGCUCGCCUCAGCAGCACAUACACUAAAACUGGAAGGAUAAAAAGAAGAUUAGCAUGGCUCCUGCAAAAGGACGACACACAAAUUUGUGAAGUGUUCCAUAUUUUU
ensembl:snRNA U6 U6 spliceosomal RNA